GUGGUCCACUUGCCAUCUAUCCUGGCCGAGCAUAUCCGUGCCAGGUGCUGUUGCUGCCCUAGGCACGCCAAGGAACAGAGGAGGGCAGGUAUCUUCUGGGCAGCCUCCGGAGUCAAAUCAAGAUUUGAGGUACCCAGAGGAGCCUCAUAGCCAAAGCUUGGAAACGGCAGCACCGAAGCACACACAGAGAGCAUCUCAAUAUCCACGUGCGACCGAGGAUGGAUUUCGUCCGCUCCUCUUCCAAAAGCUAAGUGUCGGGGCCAGCGGUUGGGAGAAGGGGAGAAACCUUUACUCUCACAGGAGGCAAUCAGAUGUCAGCUUAGCGUAGAGGUCUGUAGAGGGGCGGGCUCUCUGGAAGUAAAGGGAGAGGGUUUCUCCUCAGCCUCGCCAGAGCCUUUGCCGGGCAGGGCAGUUCCGACCCAUCUCCACAUUUUCGCGUACUUUGCGUCGUCCGCCUCCCUCGCCUCGACAUCGUCACGGAUCUUUCCCCCGAGGAGCUCGCCUUCACGUCCGGAGCUACGGCCACGGUCACCCGGCAGUCGGCUUCCUUCUCUAGGCUCGGCGAGCCUCUCGAGCAACCUCUUAACUACUUCGGCACUAACUUCUUUUAACGAGUUCCAUUUCAUCAUCACGUGCUCUUGUCAUAGGGCUUUCUUUCCUUUGGCAUCAUCAGCCUCUGGCUCAUCUUGCGUUAGGAAUCUCGGGUCCCUGCGGGGACAGUGCCAGGCAGUUGCCACUUGUCUCUGUGUUAUGUCGUCCGUGUCUGUGUUAUGUCGUCCGUGUCUGUGUUAUGUCAUCUGUGUCUGUGUUAUGUCGUCCGUGUCUGUGUUAUGUAGUCUGUCCAUUGUCUUACGUGUCACAGGCCUUUGUUAUGUCUCGAUGCUUUAUUGGCACUAUUCCGUGCCACAUCUCCCGUAUUCUACUCACGUUCCUUUCCGGAUAUCCCUUAUUCCGGCAUCUUUACAUUUUUACUCUUUGAGACAGGAAUGUCUCAAAGGGACAAGAUGUUCUCAUCCAUCUUCCUUCUCACUAGCGGCUUUGGUAGUGCCUUUUUUUCCACGCCAUUCUCUUGGACUUCCUGAGGGAGCGUCUUACACCCUCCUCACGUGACUGCAGCAGUUCUAUAGGUUCCAUCUUCCCAAGGGGUAUAGGGCUCAAGAAUUCGUAUCUUCCAGAGAGCUACCUCAAGUCCUGGCUUAUACUGUAUGUGCUUACACUGUUUGUACCUAU